GGAGAGGUGGUCGAGUGGUUUAAGGCAGCGGUCUUGAAAACCGCCGUAUCCGUGAGGGUACCGUGGGUUCGAAUCCCACCCUCUCCG
rnacentral:tRNA from 2 species